AGGACGAACGCUGGCGGCGCGCUUAACACAUGCAAGUCGAGCGAGAACCAGGCCUUCGGGCCUGGGGAAAGCGGCGAACGGGUGAGUAACACGUGGGUAACCCACCCUUGGUACCGGGAUAGCCCGAGGAAACUCGGAUUAAUACCGGAUGGCCCAACAGCUUCUCGGAGCGGUUGGAAAAGGUAGCUUCGGCCUCCGACCAAGGACGGGCCCGCGGUGGAUUAGCUUGUUGGUGAGGUAACGGCUCACCAAGGCUUCGAUCCAUAGCUGGUCUGAGAGGACGAUCAGCCACACUGGGACUGAGACACGGCCCAGACUCCUACGGGAGGCAGCAGUGGGGAAUCUUGCGCAAUGGGCGAAAGCCUGACGCAGCGACGCCGCGUGGGGGAAGAAGGCUUUCGGGUGUAAACCCCUUUCAGGAAGGACGAAGCCACUCGGGUUAAUAGCCCAGAGGGUGACGGUACUUCCAGAAGAAGCCCCGGCUAACUACGCGCCAGCAGCCGCGGUAA
rnacentral:rRNA from 1 species